rnacentral:lncRNA from 1 species
CAAAUGCCUACUUUUUUUUCAGAUCCGUAAAUCUUUCUCAUUUCUCCUCUUGAUCGCUGCUUGAUGUGAGAUAGUGGAUGAAAACAUUUGAUGUUAUAUUGAGUUUACUUUCGGAUGAAUUAAGAACUAUUCUUUGGGAUGAAUUAUGGAUUGGAUGGAAGCUGCUAUACUAGUUGAUAAGAUCAAGAUAGAUGGUAUGAAUAAUGAAACUUUGGUUCUACUAUAUCAAGGAUUUUGUGAAUGAACAGACAUAGCCCAACAGUGCAAUAUGAUUUUUAAACGAGUAAGAGUGAGGAAAGACCACGAUGCUAUAAGAAAUAGUCACCAUCUUCACAAAUUAUGAAGUAGAAAUGGGUGCUAGAGUUUUAUGUGAGGAAAGCUUGUGGAAAGCCUAAGUUGAAGGCAUUGUUCCUAGCUUUUGGUAGAAAUUUAAGAUCCUUUGUAAAAAAACUUAAUGAUAUGUAGAAGUUUCAUGAGCUUGUAUAGAAUUUUGGGUUGGUUUGUUGUUUUAAUACAUUUAUUUGCUUUGUAUUGUUU